UUCUAUCAAGGCAAACUGUCCGCAAGGGCAGGGCGCAAAGCAACGGGGCUUUAUCCACAAGAUUCCUUACCCCUUUAUGGAUAAGGGUCAGGGUGAGGGGGAGUCAAGCCAGCCGGGCUGCCGAGG
rnacentral:ncRNA from 1 species